GUCACUUCUCUGCCUUUUGGCUAAGAUCAAGUGUAGUAUCUGUUCUUAUCUGUUUAAUGUCUAAUACAUCCUCAAUAAAUGGACAUUAUUUUUAAAAAAAUCUUUGUGAAUCCAAAGUGUUGUUGUCAAUGGAGUUAAAUCCAGUACACUCCUGGUCACAAGUGGUGUCCCCCAGGGCGCAGUGCUGGGACCACUCCUGGUAAACAUCUU
rnacentral:snRNA from 1 species